rnacentral:rRNA from 1 species
GACGAACGCUGGCGGCGUGCUUAACACAUGCAAGUCGAACGGAAAGGCCCUGCUUUUGUGGGGUGCUCGAGUGGCGAACGGGUGAGUAACACGUGAGUAACCUUCCCUUGACUUUGGGAUAACUUCAGGAAACUGGGGCUAAUACCGGAUAGGAGCUCCUGCUGCAUGGUGGGGGUUGGAAAGUUUCGGCGGUUGGGGAUGGACUCGCGGCUUAUCAGCUUGUUGGUGGGGUAGUGGCUUACCAAGGCUUUGACGGGUAGCCGGCCUGAGAGGGUGACCGGCCACAUUGGGACUGAGAUACGGCCCAGACUGCUACGGGAGGCAGCAGUGGGGAAUAUUGCACAAUGGGCGGAAGCCUGAUGCAGCAACGCCGCGUGCGGGAUGACGGCCUUCGGGUUGUAAACCGCUUUCGCCUGUGACGAAGCGUGAGUGACGGUAAUGGGUAAAGAAGCACCGGCUAACUACGUG